CUGAAUAGGCGGNCCUCGAUCC
rnacentral:tRNA from 1 species